rnacentral:sRNA from 1 species
CAUUAGCGGAGGAAAAGAAACCAACAGGGAUUGCCUUAGUAGCGGCGAGUGAAGCGGCAAAAGCUCAAAUUUGAAAUCUGGCUCUUUCAGAGUCCGAGUUGUAAUUUGAAGAAGGUAUCUUUGGGUCUGGCUCUUGUCUAUGUUUCUUGGAACAGAACGUCACAGAGGGUGAGAAUCCCGUGCGAUGAGAUGAUCCAGGCCUAUGUAAAGUUCCUUCGAAGAGUCGAGUUGUUUGGGAAUGCAGCUCUAAGUGGGUGGUAAAUUCCAUCUAAAGCUAAAUAUUGGCGAGAGACCGAUAGCGAACAAGUACAGUGAUGGAAAGAUGAAAAGAACUUUGAAAAGAGAGUGAAAAAGUACGUGAAAUUGUUGAAAGGGAAGGGCUUGAGAUCAGACUUGGUAUUUUGUAUGUUACUUCUUCGGGGGUGGCCUCUACAGUUUAUCGGGCCAGCAUCAGUUUGGGCGGUAGGAGAAUUGCGUUGGAAUGUGGCACGGCUUCGGUUGUGUGUUAUAGCCUUCGUCGAUACUGCCAGCCUAGACUGAGGACUGCGGUUUAUACCUAGGAUGUUGGCAUAAUGAUCUUAAGUCGCCCGUCUUGAACC